rnacentral:rRNA from 1 species
CCUACGGGGGGCUGCAGUGGGGAAUUUUGGACAAUGGGCGCAAGCCUGAUCCAGCCAUUCCGCGUGAGUGAAGAAGGCCUUCGGGUUGUAGAGCUCUUUCGCAAGGGAAGAAAACUUAUCCUCUAACAUAGGAUGAGGUUGACGGUACCUUGAUAAGAAGCACCGGCUAACUACGUGCCAGCAGCCGCGGUAAUACGUAGGGUGCGUGCGUUAAUCGAAAUUACCGGGGGCUGAGCGUUCAGUCAGAUGUGAAAUCCCCGAGCUCAACUUGGGAACUGCGUUUGAAACUACAAGACUAGAAUAGGUCAGAGGGGGGUAGAAUUCCACGUGUAGCAGUGAAAUGCGUAGAGAUGUGGAGGAAUAUCAAUGGCGAAGGCAGCCCCCUGGGAUCAUAUUGACGCUCAUGCACGAAAGCGUGGGGAGCAAACAGGAUUAGAUACCCCUGUAGUC